rnacentral:rRNA from 1 species
AUAUCAGUCAUGCAUAGCAUAUCAAUAAGCGGAGGAAAAGAAACUAACAAGGAUUCCCCUAGUAACGGCGAGUGAAGCGGGAAGAGCUCAAAUUUGAAAUCUUAAAGGGUUUCCCUUUACGAAUUGUAGUUUAAAGAAGUGUUUUCUGUUGAGGUUUUGGUAAAAGUUCUUUGGAAUAGGACAUCAUAGAGGGUGAGAAUCCCGUAUUUGACUUAUUCAUUCUAACUUUGUGAUACACUUUCAAAGAGUCGGACUGUUUGGGAAUGCAGUCCAAAAUGGGUGGUAAAUUUCAUCUAAAGCUAAAUAUUGGCGAGAGACCGAUAGCGAACAAGUACCGUGAGGGAAAGAUGAAAAGAACUUUGAAAAGAGAGUUAAACAGUACGUGAAAUUGUCAAAAGGGAAGCGUUUGACACCAGUGUUGUUUUUCUGAAAAUCAAUUAAAGAACUGUUUAUGCUAAGUUGUCUAGACUUUAUCAGCUAACUGUUUAGUUUUGAGCUUUUCUUUAAUGCACUUUUCAGUUAACAAGUCAACAUCAAUUUCUUUUGCUGUACAAAAGCUUGAGGAAGGUGGCUUGAGAUUCGUCUUAAGUGUUUAUAGCCUCUUGCCUAUGCAGUCGGAGAGAUUGAGGUCUGCAGCGUAGAUCCUUCGGGGCUAAAUGCAUUUGUGCUAAGUUAUAGCAUUUUAUAGACAACUUGUUGACUAUGAUUUGUCUUGUAGGCUUACUCGCUUAUGUUAUUUUACCUACGCUUAGGAUGUUGACGCGCGUGUGUGCGUG